CCUACGGGUGGCAGCAGUCGAGAAUCAUUCACAAUGGGGGAAACCCUGAUGGUGCGACGCCGCGUGGGGGAAUGAAGGUCUUCGGAUUGUAAACCCCUGUCAUGUGGGAGCAAAUUAAAAAGAUAGUACCACAAGAGGAAGAGACGGCUAACUCUGUGCCAGCAGCCGCGGUAAUACAGAGGUCUCAAGCGUUGUUCGGAAUCACUGGGCGUAAGGCGUGCGUAGGCUGUUUCGUAAGUCGUGUGUGAAAGGCGCGGGCUCAACCCGCGGACGGCACAUGAUACUGCGAGACUAGAGUAAUGGAGGGGGAACCGGAAUUCUCGGUGUAGCAGGGAAAUGCGUAGAUAUCGAGAGGAACACUCGUGGCGAAGGCGGGUUCCUGGACAUUAACUGACGCUGAGGCACGAAGGCCAGGGGAGCGAAAGGGAUUAGAUACCCGUGUAGUC
rnacentral:rRNA from 1 species